GCUCGCCCCUGCCACGUCAAAAGAGGCAGAAGGGGAGUCGGAGCAGAAAGGGGACCC
ensembl:miRNA